UACAGAGGUCUCAAGCGUUGUUCGGAUUCAUUGGGCGUAAAGGGUGCGUAGGCGGCGCGGUAAGUCGGGUGUGAAAUCUCGGAGCUUAACUUCGAAACUGCAUUCGAUACUGCCGUGCUUGAGGACUGGAGAGGAGACUGGAAUUUACGGUGUAGCGGUGAAAUGCGUAGAUAUCGUAAGGAAGACCAGUGGCGAAGGCGGGUCUCUGGACAGUUCCUGACGCUGAGUCACGAGGAAUCCAGGGGGAGCAAACGGGG
rnacentral:rRNA from 1 species